UUAAGGGCAAACCUCUCGAAAGGGUGGGACGCAAAGCCACGGGCCUAAGGUGCUGUAGGCACUAUGGCAGCCGGGUUGCCG
rnacentral:ncRNA from 1 species